rnacentral:lncRNA from 1 species
UGCAAAUCAUAGUAACGAGUGCCUCGUCAAUGCUUAUGUUUUUCAUAGAACUUAAUGAUUCUUGCUUGUAUAUCUAUUAUGCAAUUCAUGUAGGGAACGUGUAGGGAAUGUUUUGGGUUGUUGUAUGCAAUCAUCCAACCCAAUAACUUAAGGAAAACUUGAAGAUUAAAAAAGUGUUGUUCACGGUUAAUCUGAAGUAUUGAGAUUUACAAUUUAUUGAAAGAACAACUGAAAAUCAAUUUAGGUUGUAUAUGUGUCAUGUGUGGAGAAGAACUCUCUAGCUAGUCCGUCACCUAUCCUUUCACCUUAAUUUCAUGUUUUUGUCAAUUCUGUAAUUUAUUUAAGUUUAAUUUACUUUUCAUCAAAACCAAACCCCCCAUUAUUAAAUUAUAUUAUUUAGUUAGUUUUCAUUGUUGUUAGUCUUUUAAUUCAAUUUCCGUCCAUUUCAGUUCCUAGUGUCCAAUUUGAUUGUUUUCAUUAUUUUGAGUCAUCCUAAGUGUGUUUCGAGUUAUUAGAGUUUUUAGCCUAGUUUUGUG